AUGAAAAUGUAACAUUUGAACCUUAUUACAACGCCAAUCGAUAUUUUUUACAUUAAAUAUUUCAUGGAAUAAAAAAUUAUUUAGUCUGUGUCCCCAACAAAGAACAAAAUCGUAACUACCUUGCGUUGCUAUAUGAAAAUAAACCUUAAAGUGAGUGUGUAACAUUUUAUUUCACUUCAUUUCGUUCGACUUAUUGUAACUAUUAGAACGAAUGAUAGCAACUGCGCGGCGGGGAGACCGCUAGCCGGAUCAGUCGCGUCACAGUCGUUGAGAGAGGUGGGUGUGUUUAUUGCGUGGCCGCUGAGUUACCGCUGUCGAAAGAAAGAAGCUUCUGCACUAAAUGGCGUUAACGCACGCAGAAAAGCAACGUCGUUAUAGGCUUAAAUUAAAGUUGGAGCCUAUAAAAAUGCUGAAGCCAAAAACAAAACAUCUUGAAAGGUACCACGCAAAUAAAAAACUUGUAAUAGAUAUGACAGAGCGUGAACACAGAAAUAUCAAGCGUAAAUGGAAGACUGCGAACAAGAAACGACGAGAACGUCAAAAGUGUGCUCAACAAAUUAUGAACAUUACACCGGCGUCCAGCCCACGGUCAGGAACUCCAGUUUCACCGAGAUCUAGAGGCCGAAGACAAAUACGAAGAGAUCGUUCUGCAGUUUACAGAAAAAAUCUGAAAAUUCAGGAAGAACUCGAAAAGAUGAAACGGCAGUGCGAUAAAUACAAAAAGAGAUACCAACGAGCUAAAGCCACAAUCAAAGACACGAAAAAAAUAAAUAAGCUUAACCAAAACAAGUAUUCAACGAUAUCUAAUCUAAUGCAAUCAAAGACCAUUACAAAAGUUUGGAGUCAGUGAGAGAGUAGAACGCCUUAAAACGAAUUUUCCAAGGAGAAGGCAUAGCCAAGUCUAAAAUGAAGAUUAGUAUUAUACGCGAGACUUUGGGCAUUGAUCAGAUGAAAGUGAUGAAACGACAGAAUAACCCUUUAGGGAAAAAGCCUCUGGUUGAUAAUAUUAAAAGCUUUUUUGACCGUGAUGAUGUUUCUAGAGCUACGGCGGGUAAACGGGAAACUGUCACCUUUAAAAAAAUAAAAAUACAGAAGCGCCAUUAACUGGACACGCCACGGAUGAAAGGCCUAUUUCGUUCAUUCAAAAAAGAAAACCCUGAUUCUUUCUUCAGAAUUCUUUGAGGCUGGUCAUGGAAAAGGGGCUGCUGAUGGCGUUGGUGGCUACCUCAAACGCACCGCAGAUGAAAAAGUAGCUGCUGGUUCCGAUAUUUCUGAUGCAGAAGCUUUUUAUUACACUUUGAAGGAUUUGAGCAAGGUUCGAAUGUACUUACUGACUAAAAGCGACAUUCAAAUCGUUGGAAAAGCACUACCUAAAAACCUAGUGCCACUCCAGGGUACUAUGCAAGUACAUCAAGUUUUUAUUGACACUCCCGGUGAACUCCAAUACAGAGACCUCAGUUGCUUUUGCGAAAGGGGUUUUUGCCGUUGCAUGAAUCCAAAAACACAUCAGCCUGUUCCUGUUCCUGUCAUUAAUACACUUAGAGAAGAUAUUCUUUCCUUUGAAUCGGAUGAGGAAUCAGUCCUAGACGACAUUUCUAAUGUCGUUGCCGUACCUAGAAGAUCAUAUUAUAAUACGGUUAAUUCCUCAUCUUCCAACUCUGACGACGAACCUUUAGUAAGAUUUAGUCAACCAUCGGUUUCUAAUAUAAACGAAAUGCAGCUGAGUGAAAAGGAAAAUGUUCAUCCUUCAAAAAUAUCUGACGGUGUCCAUGUUUUUAUAAAAGUGUCUUCUGUCAAAGACAAACACUACACUUACCUCGGCGUUGCUAAAAGUGAAGUCGAUGAAGAAGGAGACGUAAAAUAGUACAUUACGAUACAAGUGCGAAAAAUAGGAAAUUCGAAACGAGUGGCGAUAAAUUAAAACACGACCGAAGGGAGUGUUUUAAAUCGACACGAGUUGCGAAUUUCCUAUUCGCACAUGUAUCGUACAACGUUUUACAGUACAUAUGGCCCUUUAAAUGUUCGACACAGUAACAUAAUAUGCUACUUCUCGCACUAGUGCUAUAAAGUAGCCCCAUAUGUACUGUAAAUUAUGUUUUACAAGAUGGUAGAUAAAACUGGCAAAAGAUUCAAAGCAGUGGAGACUGAUAUUUCUUACGAGCCUUACGAUAACAUCUUGGAAAUUGUUCCUAACCCUAAAGUUAUCGUAAAAGGUAAAAGGGUAUAUUUUCAUUACGAUGAAGCAAUUAACGUAUAUGAAAAGUAAGACUGAAUUAUUUGUAUUAAAUUUGCUAAGUUUGUUGUUUUUGAAGUUAUUUGAGUUACUUGAUACUAUAUCACGUCUUAAGAAGUAAAAUUUUGUUUUGUUUUAUCAUUAUAACAGAUCUCUAUAGAAAGUACUAAGUAUAGUAUGUAAGAAAAUACUACUGUGUUACUAAGCUUACUACUGCGUUACUUUUGUGUCCCUUCGAUUAUUGUAGUAAUUUCAGUAAUACAUGGGCUUCUAGUGAUCUUAAAUGCCUGAACCUCUUACGUACGUAUUAUAGAUCCAAAGUGGAAGGUUAUGCCAUUAGGUGGUAUUCAAUAUAAGUUGUUUUUUGUUAUUAAUAGGAAAGUUUAAGUUUUAAAAUGACACUUUGGUAACGCAGUAAUCUUAAUUAUUAAGAAUACUCCAUGAAACUGAUUAUUUCUGUGAUUUAACUUACUAAGAGCUAAAUGUAAGCGUUACAGUUUAAAACUGACAUAUUGAAAAGUCUGAUUGUGCAAUUUUAUAAAAAAGUUAAUUUUGUAAAAAAGUAA